rnacentral:rRNA from 1 species
UGGGGAAUAUUGCACAAUGGGCGCAAGCCUGAUGCAGCAACGCCGCGUGAACGAUGAAGGUCUUCGGAUCGUAAAGUUCUGUCGCAGGGGAAGAUAAUGACGGUACCCUGUGAGGAAGCCCCGGCUAACUACGUGCCAGCAGCCGCGGUAAUACGUAGGGGGCUAGCGUUAUCCGGAUUUACUGGGCGUAAAGGGCGCGUAGGUGGUCUUUCAAGUCGGUGGUUAAAGGCUACGGCUCAACCGUAGUUAGACUCCGAAACUGGAAGGCUUGAGUGCAGGAGAGGAAAGUGGAAUUCCCAGUGUAGCGGUGAAAUGCGUAGAUAUUGGGAGGAACACCAGUAGCGAAGGCGGCUUUCUGGACUGCAACUGACACUGAGGCACGAAAGCGUGGGUAGCAAACAGG